AGAGCGAACGCUGGCGGCAGGCCUAAUACAUGCAAGUCGAACGGACCCUUCGGGGUUAGUGGCGGACGGGUGAGUAACACGUGGGAACGUGCCCUUUGGUUCGGAACAACUCAGGGAAACUUGAGCUAAUACCGGAUGUGCCCUUCGGGGGAAAGAUUUAUCGCCAUUGGAGCGGCCCGCGUCUGAUUAGCUAGUUGGUGGGGUAAAGGCCCACCAAGGCUACGAUCAGUAGCUGGUCUGAGAGGAUGAUCAGCCACACUGGGACUGAGACACGGCCCAGACUCCUACGGGAGGCAGCAGUAGGGAAUCUUGCGCAAUGGGCGAAAGCCUGACGCAGCCAUGCCGCGUGAAUGAUGAAGGUCUUAGGAUUGUAAAAUUCUUUCAGCGGGGACGAUAAUGACGGUACCCGCAGAAGAAGCCCCGGCUAACUUCGUGCCACAGCCGC
rnacentral:rRNA from 1 species